UACGUAGGGGGCAAGCGUUGUCCGGAAUCAUUGGGCGUAAAGAGCGCGUAGGCGGCCCAGUAAGUCCGCUCUGAAAGUCAGGGGCUCAACCCCUGAAUGCGGGUGGAUACUGCCGGGCUAGAGUCCGGAAGAGGCGAGUGGAAUUCCUGGUGUAGCGGUGGAAUGCGCAGAUAUCAGGAGGAACACCCAUAGCGAAGGCAGCUCGCUGGGACGGUACUGACGCUAAGGCGCGAAAGCGUGGGGAGCGAACAGG
rnacentral:rRNA from 1 species